rnacentral:rRNA from 1 species
UCAACCUGAGAGUUUGAUCCUGGCUCAGAGCGAACGCUGGCGGCAGGCCUAACACAUGCA